GGUGGCUGCGACUGUUUAAUAAAAACACAGCACUCUGCAAACACGAAAGUGGACGUAUAGGGUGUGACUCCUGCCCGGUGCUGGAAGGUUAAUUGAUGGGGUCAGCCGCAAGGCGAAGCUCUUGAUCGAAGCCCCAGUAAACGGCGGCCGUAACAAUAACGGUCCUAAGGUAGCGAAAUUCCUUGUCGGGUAAGUUCCGACCUGCACGAAUGGAGUAACGAUAGCCCCACUGUCUCCUUCCGAGGCUCAGUGAAAUUGAAAUCGCUGUGACGAUGCAGUGUUCCCGCGGCAAGACGGAAAGACCCCGUGAACCUUCACUACAACUUUACAUUGGACUUUGAAAUUGCUUGUGUAGGAUAGGUGGGAGGCAUUGAAGUCAGGACGCUAGUCUUGAUGGAGCCAACCUUGAAAUACCACCCUGGUAAUUUCGGAGUUCUAACCUCGAUCGGUAUAUCCCGGUCAGGGACAAUGUAUGGUGGGUAGUUUGACUGGGGCGGUCUCCUCCCAAAGAGUAACGGAGGAGUGCGAAGGUAACC
rnacentral:rRNA from 1 species